UACAGAGGUCUCAAGCGUUGUUCGGAUUCAUUGGGCGUAAAGGGUGCGUAGGCGGCGCGGUAAGUCGGGUGUGAAAUCUCGGGGCUUAACUCCGAAACUGCAUUCGAUACUGCCGUGCUUGAGGACUGGAGAGGAGACUGGAAUUUACGGUGUAGCGGUGAAAUGCGUAGAUAUCGUAAGGAAGACCAGUGGCGAAGGCGGGUCUCUGGGCCUUACCUGACGCUGAGGCGCGAAAGCUAGGGGGAGCAAACAGG
rnacentral:rRNA from 1 species